rnacentral:rRNA from 1 species
GAUGAACGCUGGCGGCGUGCUUAACACAUGCAAGUCGAACGUGAGAAUAGCAAUAUUUGAAAGUGGCAAACGGGUGAGUAACACGUGGGAACCUGCCUCGAAGUGGGGGAUAACGAUUGGAAACGGUCGCUAAUACCGCACGGUUCUGCUCUGAUGGGAAUGGAGCAGAUAAAGAUUUAUCGCUUUGAGAGGGGCCCGCGGCCGAUUAGCUAGUUGGUAAGGUAAAGGCUUACCAAGGCGAUUAUCGGUAGCUGGUCUGAGAGGACGAUCAGCCACACGGGAACUGAGACACGGUCCCGACUCCUACGGGGGGCGAGCAGUGAGGAAUAUUGGGCAAUGGGCGAAAGCCUGACCCAGCAACGCCGCGUGGAGGAUGAAGGCUUUAGGGUUGUAAACUCCUUUUGUGGGGGAAAAGGAAUGGAUGGUACCCCAACGAAUAAGUCACGGCUAACUACGUG